CCUACGAGCGGCUGCAGUGGGGAAUAUUGGACAAUGGGGGGAACCCUGAUCCAGCGACGCCGCGUGAGUGAAGAAGUAUUUCGGUAUGUAAAGCUCUAUCAGCAGGGAAGAAAGAAAUGACGGUACCUGACUAAGAAGCCCCGGCUAACUACGUGCCAGCAGCCGCGGUAAUACGUAGGGGGCAAGCGUUAUCCGGAUUUACUGGGUGUAAAGGGAGCGUAGACGGCGAUGCAAGUCUGAAGUGAAAGGCGGGGGCCCAACCUCCGGACUGCUUUGGAAACUGUAUGGCUGGAGUGCAGGAGAGGUAAGUGGAAUUCCUAGUGUAGCGGUGAAAUGCGUAGAUAUUAGGAGGAACACCAGUGGCGAAGGCGGCUUACUGGACUGUAACUGACGUUGAGGCUCGAAAGCGUGGGGAGCAAACAGGAGUAGAUACCCCUGUAGUC
rnacentral:rRNA from 1 species